AACGGACAAGGGCCAAAGGCAGUGUGCGCACGGUGUAUGGGCGCCGGGCAGUGUGCGGGAAAUAUGAUGGCAGCGGAUUGCGCCGGUAUUGGUAUGGGACAAUGUCAAAUUGACUAAGGCAUAGCUCGAACAUCCUUAGGGCGGAAUGCAGCUGGUCCGAAUAGCACAUGAGAAGCACAUGGAAGCGGUUGGCAGGAGUUCCUUGUUUGUAGGCCAUGAUCUCCCA
rnacentral:lncRNA from 1 species